rnacentral:rRNA from 1 species
UAUGUGAUCGUCUCUCGCAUAUCAAUAAGCGGAGGAAAAGAAACUAACAAGGAUUCCCCUAGUAACGGCGAGUGAAGCGGGAAGAGCUCAAAUUUGAAAUCUUAAUGGGUUUCCCUUUACGAAUUGUAGUUUAAAGAAGUGUUUUCUGUUGAUGUUUUGGUAAAAGUUCUUUGGAAUAGGACAUCAUAGAGGGUGAGAAUCCCGUAUUUGACCUUUACUUUCAACUUUGUGAUACACUUUCAAAGAGUCGGAUUGUUUGGGAAUGCAGUCCAAAAUGGGUGGUAAAUUUCAUCUAAAGCUAAAUAUUGGCGAGAGACCGAUAGCGAACAAGUACCGUGAGGGAAAGAUGAAAAGAACUUUGAAAAGAGAGUUAAACAGUACGUGAAAUUGUCAAAAGGGAAGCGUUUGACACCAGUGUUGUUUUUCUGAAAAUCAAUUAAAGAACUGUUUAUGCUAAGCUGUUUAGACUUUAUCAGCUAUCUGUUUAGUUUUGAGCUUUUCUUUAAUGCACUUUUCAGUUAACAAGUCAACAUCAAUUUCUUUUGCUGUAAAAAAGCUUGAGGAAGGUGGCUUGAGAUUCGUCUUAAGUGUUUAUAGCCUCUUGCCUAUGCAGUCGGAGAGAUUGAGGUCUGCAGCGUAGAUCCUUCGGGGCUAAAUGCAUUUGUGCUAAGUUAUAGCAUUUCAUAGACAACUUGUUGACUAUGAUUUGUCUUGUAGUUUACUCGCUUAUGUUAUUUUACCUACGCUUAGGAUGUUGAUAUGCAUGACUGAUA